rnacentral:rRNA from 1 species
AUUGAACGCUAGCGGGAUGCUUUACACAUGCAAGUCGAACGGCAGCGCGGACUUCGGUCUGGCGGCGAGUGGCGAACGGGUGAGUAAUGUAUCGGAACGUGCCCAGUAGCGGGGGAUAACUACGCGAAAGCGUAGCUAAUACCGCAUACGCCCUACGGGGGAAAGCAGGGGAUCGUAAGACCUUGCACUAUUGGAGCGGCCGAUAUCGGAUUAGCUAGUUGGUGAGGUAACGGCUCACCAAGGCGACGAUCCGUAGCUGGUUUGAGAGGACGACCAGCCACACUGGGACUGAGACACGGCCCAGACUCCUACGGGAGGCAGCAGUGGGGAAUUUUGGACAAUGGGGCAACCCUGAUCCAGCCAUCCCGCGUGUGCGAUGAAGGCCUUCGGGUUGUAAAGCACUUUUGGCAGGAAAGAAACGUCGCGGGCUAAUACCCCGUGGAACUGACGGUACCUGCAGAAUAAGCACCGGCUAACUACGUG